rnacentral:rRNA from 1 species
CCUACGGGGUGCUGCAGUGAGGAAUAUUGGUCAAUGGGCGCGAGCCUGAACCAGCCAAGUAGCGUGAAGGAUGACUGCCCUACGGGUUGUAAACUUCUUUUAUAAAGGAAUAAAGUGAGGCACGUGUGCCUUUUUGUAUGUACUUUAUGAAUAAGGAUCGGCUAACUCCUUGCCAGCAGCCGCGGUAAUCCGGAGGCUCCGAGCGUUAUCCGGAUUUAUUGGGGUUAAAGGGAGCGGAGAUGGGUUGUUAAGGCAAGUGUGAAAGUUUGCGGCUCAACCGUAAAAUUGCAAUUGAUACUGGCAGCCUUGAGUACAGGUGAGGUAGGCGGAAUGCGUGGUGUAGCGGUGAAAUGCUUAGAUAUCACGAAGAACUCCGAUUGCGAAGGCAGCUUACUAAACUGCCACUGACAUUGAUGCUCGAAAGUGUGGGUAUCAAACAGGAUUAGAUACCCCUGUAGUC